rnacentral:rRNA from 1 species
GAUUCUGGCUCAGGACGAACGCUGGCGGCAUGCUUCAUACAUGCAAGUCGAACGAUAAGGUCUCUUCGGAGAUACAUAAGUGGCGGACGGGUGAGUAAUAUGUAGGAAAUCUGCCCUAGAGAGGGGGACAACAGAGGGAAACUUCUGCUAAUACCCCAUAUGAGCGUACCUGAAAUGGUAUUCUUGAAAACUCCGGUGCUCUAGGAUGAGCCUGCAUCUGAUUAGCUUGUUGGCGGUGUAAUGGACCACCAAGGCGACGAUCAGUAGCUGGUUUGAGAGGAUGAUCAGCCACAAUGGGACUGAGACACGGCCCAUACUCCUACGGGAGGCAGCAGUAGGGAAUUUUGCGCAAUGGGCGAAAGCCUGACGCAAGCAAUGCCGCGUGAACGUAGAAGCCCUUCGGGGUGUAAAGUUCUGUCAGUGGGGACGAAUAAUGACGGUACCCACAGAGGAAGCACCGGCUAACUCCGUGCCAGCAGCAGC